ACCUGCGUUAACUCCAUUUUUUUAUUCAUAUAUAUAUAUAUGUAAAUGUAAUAUGUGACAGUUAUUAGGUAGCCAUGAUAAAACUCCGAGUUUCGGAUACCGAGCUGGAAAUUCACGCUACUAUCUCUUCAGUUAUCCGGCCUUUGGAAAAAUACUAGGAAAAAUUACAUUUUUCAUAGUAUUUUUCCGAUGGCCGGAUAACUGAAGAGAUGGCGGCGUGGAUUUCCACAUCGGCAUCCGAAACUCGGAGUUUUAUCAUGGCUACCGAGUAAUUGUGACAUAUUACAUUUACAGAUAAAUUCCUCUAGUUACAUAAUAUCGAGGUCUCUUUCAUUCUUUUGUUGUCAUACCAUUUUUAUUAAUAUAUAUAUAUAUAUAUAUAUUUAUAUAUAUAUAAUGGUAAUCUGUAAGAAAGAAGUCUAUACGAUUUCUUGCUGAACAACAUGCACAUAUGAUUUGUUUAGGGUGGUCAAAUGAAUGUGCUGUACAUUAGCCCACUCUCUCCAUUACAUUAAUACUAACAGCUACACGGUGUCCCACAUGUCAGGUGUCCAAGUGAUUGGAGGGCAACGUGAGAGAAUGUUUAUACUCACCACCCGGUCCAGGAAUUGAAAUCAAGAUUGCGUGCUCGUGAGGAAAAUUUCUAAUCAGUGGGCCAUGCUCUCUCAUACACACACAUACACACACACACACACACACACACACACACACACACACACACACACACAAACACACACACACACACAUGCACAUACACACACAUGUAUGUAUAUAUGCAUGUAGGAGGUAUUUAUCCAUUGGCCAAACUAACUGGGCAGGUUGUUAUCAAAUGCGCUCAGGUGUUGACCAACGAGACUAUCAUAUUAAAAUGGCUUGCAUUACCUUUAUUUAAGGCAAAUUUCCUUGCAAUUAUAAUAGGUCGAGCGAACACCAAGAGUGGCAUCGCGUGUGUUUGCAUGGGUUGGCAUUUUAUAUCUGAGUGCUUCAGAAAUUUAUCUGUAUGCUGGUAUGAUUUUUCUUCUUUCUUUUUUUUUUUUUUUUUUUUUGUUACUGAAAUUAUAUGACUUGCAAGCUGUUUCAAUGUUCAGAAACUGUGCAGAAUUUCAUCUUACAUAGAUCUAUAUAUACAUCAAACUAUCUAUCUAUGUAGCCAUCUAACUCACUAAAUAUAUAUGUACGUGCGCAUGUGACCAUGUAUGUAUGCAAAUAUGUUUAUAUGUUUAUAUGUAUAUUGUGCGUUUGUGUUUAUGCAUGUAGAAUAUAAAUAUACAUUAUGUAAAGAUAAAUGUAUACGUACAUGUAUACAUACCUUCGAUAAAUACAUUCAUACUUGUGUGCGUGUGUAUAUCAGUGUGAGGGUGCAUGUAGCAUAUAUCCGUGUCUGUGUGCGUUCACUCAUGAAUAUUUUAAGACUUUUAAAGCCCCAUUCCAUAGCAAUUCCAGAAGUAUUGUCCCAUAAAACUAGUAACUGAUUGAAAUAAUCCUGGGGCUCAUGAUUAUCGGAAGAAUAUAAAAUACUCUCUCGAAGGUAAUGCCCCAGCACAGCUGCAAUAAAAGGAAUUGAAACCAGUAAGAUAAUCUAAACUGGAGUAUGAUAUAAGUGUGUCAACAUAUGUGUGGCAGCAUAGUCAAAGCAGCAAGUGUUUAGCUAUACAACGGGUGUAUAGGAAUGUAUUAGUCAGUAUGUGUAUGUAUAUUAGUUUGUAUGUAUGUUCGUUUCUUGUUUCAUUGUUUCAGUCAUCAAACUGCAGCGGUGCUAGUGUACUGUUUUUAAGGUUUUAGUCGAUUAAAUGUAUUCCAGUAUUUCUUUUAUGGUUCUCUUUCUGCCGAACAUGUAAUACACUGUUCAACAAUGAGAAACGAAUACAAAAACGUUCACACGCAUGUAUGUGCAUAUGUGCGUACGCAUUAUCUAUGUGUGUGAGGAAUAACAGAUGGAUGGAGGUUUAAAUUCGCGACAAUUGUUUCCGUAGAAAUUUAUUUAAUGUAAUUACGACUGUUUACAUCAUAUUACACAAAUCUCCAACUUCACUGGGCAUAAUUUGAACGUAAAUAACCAUGAUAUAGCUUGUGUGAUUCUAUCUAACCGGUUGGUGACGUCUUACAUGAUGAUGUACCUCGAUUCUUUAUGAAGUGUUUAAGUUAAAAUAAGUAUAUAUAUAUAUAUAUAUAUACAUAUAUAUAUGAUGUGUGUUUGUAUAUAUAUAUAUAUAUAUAUAUAUAUAUACAAACACACAUCAUAUAUACAUACAUAUAUAUAUAUGUCCGUGUGUGUGUGUGUGUGUAUGUAUGUAUAUAUCACGUGAUCACGUGACCGACCAGGCUAUCAGUUGUUGCUACAUAUCGCUGGUCACAAUGCGCUUCGCAUUGUUUUAGCCUUCAAAUGACGCCACCCCGCGGGCUAAGCGAGCAGGCCAACAGAAGAAAGAGUGAGAGAAAGUUGUAGUGAAAGAGUACAACAGAGAUCGCCACCAUCCACUGCAGGAGCCUCGCGAAGCUC
rnacentral:lncRNA from 1 species